UACGGGGGGGGCAAGCGUUGUUCGGAAUUACUGGGCGUAAAGGGCGCGUAGGCGGUUCGCUAAGUUGGACGUGAAAACUCUGGGCUUAACCCAGAGCCUGCAUCCAAAACUGGCGAACUUGAGUACUGGAGGGGAAAGCGGAAUUCCUGGUGUAGCGGUGAAAUGCGUAGAUAUCAGGAGGAACACCGGUGGCGAAGGCGGCUUUCUGGACAGUAACUGACGCUGAGGCGCGAAAGCUAGGGGAGCAAACGGG
rnacentral:rRNA from 1 species